rnacentral:misc_RNA from 1 species
CGCACAUUGCGCCCUUUGGCAUUCCGAAGGGCAUGCCUGUUCGAGCGUCAUUAUUAACCCUCAAGCCUGGCUUGCUGUUGGACCGUGGGGGAGGUGGUCCUCUACCCGGUCCCAAAGACAAUGACGGCGUCGCCUGGACCCGCGGUACAAUGAGCUUUCACGAGCACGUAUCGGCGGGGUCCCGGGGGGCCCGGUCACUCUCCUUCUUUUUCAGGUUGACCUCGGAUCAGGUAGGGAUACCCGCUGAACUUAA